CAGGGUAUAAAUGGUGAAGUAGGUCCUCAGGGAACACUUGGAAAAGAGGGUCAAAAGGGCAGCAGGGGUGAACCUGGUGAUAAUGGAAGAACAGGACUCAGAGGAUCCAGAGGUCGAGCAGGCCAACAUGGUCCCCCUGGUGUACCUGGAAUAGUGG